GCCCAAGGACUCUCCGAGUGAGGUGAGCCAGCCUGUAGGAGUGAGGAAGGAGCUCGCUACUGGGACAGUGCCUCUCACCGCCAACAGCUGUGUGACUUUUCAGAGGACGCACUGUGCCCUGGGAAAUGAACCCCCAGGGUGAGGGGGAAGAGCAGAGAUUGGAAAGCUGUGUCAGAAAAUCUCUCACAGCUUGGCCUGGUGUGUUCACACACACUCUGCCAGUUUCCUGAACACGGCACCUUUCCAGUUACCUUUUGGAAAAUCAUAUAUAUGUUUGCUCAAUGCUCUGGAAGCACAGAAAGAUUUGGGUGCAUCUAACACCAUGCAAGGGAAUGACUACCAGCUGCUAAAUGGGAUUUGAAAGUCUGGAGACAAUUGGUCACAGGUAUUUCCAAUUUAGGAGUUUUUGGAUGGCCUUUAUCCAGGCCUUUUAUUACUUCUAAUAGUCCUUUGAUGGGAAGUAAAGUGACUAUAAAUUAGUGCCUACUAAUUCUUUAUAAUAGAAGAGAGGUCAGUUUGUCUUUUGAAAAAAGCACCAGCUUGGAGAACAAAUGACUCAAUUCGUCCCUGCUGACUUUCUAAGUGAUCUUGGAUGGGCAAGGUAACUGCUCUGAGUCUUGGUUUGAGAGAAAAAAAGGUUACAAAGUCCUAUGACAAAGAGAGAGUGAAGACAUGCUGGUAAAUUCACCCAGUCACCUGGGCUGGAGGCUAACUAAGCAAAAAGCAAAGCGGUAGCAUUCCAGAUAUUUAAACAAUAGAAACAACAAAAAUUUGUCUUUGCCGUUCGUCGUGGGCCUAGGGGAUCUGAGUGAGCGAUGACUCUGUCUGGAGACCACGAAGAGGCAGCUGCAUCUCAGACUUCCUUGAGGACCCUGAGAGACCAGGCAUCUCCUUGGGCUUCUGCAUGUGCUGCCAGUCACUCCAUCAGGACAAUCUGUAAAGACCUUUUCUGAAUCUGCAAACACUGGGUUCCUGCUUCCGAUCAUGCAGCAGGCUCACUAAGAAGCAGCCCAGGCUCCGCAGAGCAGGGGCUGAGCCUUACAACAGGCCCACCUGCUUCUUCACCACCUGACACCCCAUCCCACACACCCAAGUCAACAGCGACCAGUGUGCCUUAGACCUUGAGCAUCAGACCAAGGUUAUGGCUCUGCAACGUGUUCAAAACCUACCCGCUCUUUACAACCCCGUUCUCAUGCAACUGGCACCAUGAAACCUGCCCCAAUUCGCUCUCAUACACCAAGUCUGCUCAGACUGUGGAAGUGGUAUGAGAAUUUUAAGAGAGGGAUAAGAACAGUAUUCCUGCCCUUUGGAAGUUUAUACUCUACUUGGGGAGACAAUAAACUAAUAAAGAAGAGGACAAGACUAUUUGGAAGUCAAUGCCAGGAAGAGCUGCGGAGGUCAU
rnacentral:lncRNA from 1 species